UACGUAGGGUGCGAGCGUUAAUCGGAAUUACUGGGCGUAAAGCGUGCGCAGGCGGUUUUGUAAGGCAGAUGUGAAAUCCCCGGGCUUAACCUGGGAACUGCAUUUGGGACUGCAAGGCUUGAGUGCGGCAGAGGAGACUGGAAUUCCUGGUGUAGCAGUGAAAUGCGUAGAUAUCAGGAGGAAUACCGAUGGCGAAGGCAGGUCUCUGGGCUGACACUGACGCUCAUGCACGAAAGCGUGGGGAGCAAACAGG
rnacentral:rRNA from 1 species